rnacentral:lncRNA from 1 species
GGGAUGGGCGUACGGGAGGAAGAAGAAAGUAAAUUUUUUUUUCAUUUUCUUUUCUUUUAUUUAAUAAAAUGUAAAAUAUAUAUAAUAAUAAAAAUAUAAUUAAAUACAUAUAUAUAUUUGAUUAUAUUAAUACAUUUUCAAAUCUUCUUUCUCCCCUUCAACAUAUUUUUAAAAAAAAAAUCUUGAACAAAUCGAAAUAAUUCUCUCAAAAUAAUUUUCCUUCAAGUUUGGGGCGUUACAUUCUUCCCUCCUUAAGAAACUUUCGUCCUCGAAAGUUCUAAUCCUGAAAUAACUCUGGAUAACGAGUCCUCAUCUCUUCCUCUCGCUCCCAUGUCGCCUCUUCAAUUCGAUGGUUCCGCCACAAAACCUUUACUAAUGGAAUGCUUCUAUUACGAAGCGUCUUUACCUCUCUAGCCAGAAUCUCCACAGGUUGUUCUACAUAGCUCAAACGCUCAUCAAUCUCCAAGGGUUCAUAGUCUACUACAUGAGAUGUAUCGGCCAUAUACUUCCUCAACAUCGAAACAUGGAAAACAUUAUGGACGGCAAAGAGUGAUGGUGGUAACGCCAAGCGAUCCGCCACAACGCCAACCCUCUCUAAGACCUCAAAUGGUCCAACAAAACGAGGACUUAACUUCCCUUUCUUCUCAAAAUGCAUAACACCCUUCACAGGUGCUACCUUCAAGAAUACCUUUUCUCCCACAUCGAACUUAAGGUCUUUUCGCCGUACAUCUGCAUAACUCUUCUGUCUACUCUGCGCUGUUUGCAUACGCGUUCUAAUCUUUUGAAUAGCCUCAUUAGUAGACCGAACUAAUUCAGGUCCCAUCAACCUAUGUUCACCAACCUCACCCCAACAAACAGGGGUUCUACAACAUUUGCCAUACAAAGCCUCAAAUGGUGUCAUACCGAUGGUAGCCUGGAAACUGUUGUUAUAAGAAAACUCCAUCAAAUGUAGAUGAGAGUCCCAACUACCUGGAAACUCUAUAACACAAGCUCGUAGCAUAUCCUCUAAAACUUGGUUCAAACGUUCAGUUUGACCAUCAGUCUGUGGAUGAAAGGUUGUACUAAAAUCCAAUCUCGUCCCAUAGCAGUCUGAAGUCCCUUCCAAAACUUGGAAGUAAACCAUGCAUCCCUAUCAGAAACAAUCGAUACAGGCACUCCAUGCAGUCUCACAAUCUAAGUUAAAUACAACUCUGCCCACUUACUAGCAGUAUAAGUGGAUUUCCCUGGUACAAAAUGUGCCGAUUUCGUAAGCCUAUCGACAAUAACCCAAAUCACUGUGUAACCCUUCAGGGUUUUAGGCAAUUAUAUAAUAAAAUCCAUAGAUACAUUCUCCCACUUCCACUCUAAUAUAAUCAAAGGUUGCAACAAACCUGUUGUUUUCUAUCUUGGUGCUUUAACCUACUAGCACACCAAGCACUUACUAACAAGAUUUUCCAUUUCUCUCUUCAUAUUACGCUAGUAACAAACUCUUUUCAAAUCCGGAUACAUUUUUGUGCUACUUGGAUGCAUGAGAAAUGGGAAACUAUGAGUCUCAACCAAUAACCUUGUCUUAAUUGCAUUUUCUGUUGGCACACACAAUUAUCUCUCAAACAUAAGUUCAUCAUCAAAGGAUAUGGAAAACUCCUUAACUUGCCCUACUUCUACUAGGUUAUGCUUCUCAAUCAAAUAAGGAUCAAUGAAUUGAACCACAAGAAUUCUUUGUCUCAAGGUCGGAUGUACUGACAACUGAGCUAACUUUGAGGUGACUUCCCCCACUGAAACUACAAUCUCAGCUCUCUCGUGGUUUUUGUCUAAUGAAACCUGUCUGGUAAUAAGUGCUGUCAAAAUGUGAUACUUUUCUAUGAAGAGCACCAACUUCCACAUUCGCCUUACUUAGAUGGUACAAAAUCUCACAAUCAUAGUCAUUUACUAAUUCAAACCAUCUUUGCUAUCUCAUACUCAACUUCUUUGAGUGAAGAAGUAUUUUAUACUCUUUUGGUUAGAAAAUAUCUAUAUCUUUUCAUCAUACAUAUAGUGCCUUCAAAUCAUUAAUGUAAAAACCACAACUGUCAAUUCCAUAUCAUAAGUUGGACAAUUUUCCUCAUGACUAUUCAACUGACGAGGAGUACAAGCAACUACUUUAACUUAUUGAAUAAGAAUACCUUUUAAACUUUCCUAAAAGCAUCACUAUAAAUUACGGAACAUUCUGAACCAUCAUGUACGGUAAGCACGGGAGUUGUACAAGCUUCUGCUUAAGAUCCUGAACACUAUCCUCAUAGGCUUUGUCCAAACAAACGGAGUCCCUUUUCUUAGUUAACUGAGUCAAAGGAGUAGCUAUACGAGAAAAUUCUUAUACAAACCGUUAGUAAUAACCUGCUGAACCCAAAAAGACUACGAACCUCACUAACUAUGAAAGGUUGAGGCCAACUGGUAACGACUUCAAUCUUUUAUGAGAUCCACAUAAAUGUCAUCUCUAGAUACCACAUGGCUUGGAAAGAUACUUGGCCUCAUCCAAAACUCACAUUUUGAAAACUUUGCAUACAAUUUGUUGACUCGAAGAGCCUCUAAAACCAUGUUAAAUGCUCCUCAUGCGCUGUCUUUAUUUUGGAAUAAAUUAAGAUAUCGUCAAUAGAUACAAUCACGAAAGUGUCUAAGAGAUCGUUAAACACUUUGUUCAUCAAGUCGUAAACAUUGUUUGAGCAUUUGCCAACUCAAAAGACAUCAUAAUGAACUCAUGAUGUCCAUAUCACGAACGAAAAUCUGCCAUAGGAAUGUCACUGUUCUCUAAUCCUCAACAAGUCAUAACCUGAAUGUAAUUCAAUCUUAAAGAACACGGACUUAUUGCAGUUGAUCAAACAAAUCCUCAUUCAUUGGUAAAAGAUAUUUAUUCUUAACCGACACCUUAUUCAACUUUCUACAAUCAAAACAUAAGUGCAUCGACCCAUCUUUCUUCUUAAUAAACAAAAAUUGGUGCACCCCAAGAUAUCAUACUUCGUCGAAUGUAGUCCUUGUCAAACAUUUCUUUCAAUUGCACCUUCAAAUCUUUCAACUCUGUUAGGGCCAUUUUGUAUGAAGCUUUAGAUAUAAGAACGAGUCUAACUCUAUCUCAAUAACAAGACCAAUUUCUGUUUAGCGCGGUAAUCUUAGAAACUCUUCUAGAAAAAUAUCAUAAUACUUUUUCACCACUGAUUCAAAUAACAAAGAAACAUCGACUUCUCUGGUGUCUACCACACUAGUCAAAUACAACAGGUACCCUGGUCAAGCAACUUACUAACCUUCAUAGCUGGGAUAACUUUUAGCGAAACGAUAGUUCCAACCUCUUUGUACUUGAAACUAGCCUCUGGAGAAGGAUUAGAAACUACAUUUUCACUGAACAUUUUAUGUUUACAUGGUUAAACUACAUUCCAAUUUUCAAACUCCAAACUAGUAACUUUUCAUUCACGAGAAACUCAAAAUUGUUUCUUAAAGUCACAUCAAGACAACCAUGCUCAUCUUCCUUGUUUCUUUUCCAAUACCUCCAUUCUAAAACCAUUUAAUGUGUUUUAUAUAAACUUGACCGUGUAUUUAGUCCUCGUUAAAACCACCUACAUAACUUAUUUUUCUUAGAUUUCCAAUCACAAAACAGACAAUUUCGCUAACAACGUCUUACUUUUCUACUACUCGACCACUCCUUUGAACACCUCUACAUGGCAACAUUUUUCCUAAAUUUCACCAUUAAAUCAUAACAUUCAUGUAAUUCUAGUUUAACUUAGGCAAGGUCAUAUACAUAAACCAUACAUAUAAGCAUAAAGCAUACCUGACGAGAGACGAAGGGUCGCGUUAGCCAUAGGGACACAAAAAACAUAGACUUACAUCGUAAGUCAGUCUACAGAACCUAAAACUUAGGCUCUGAUACCAACUGUAACGACCCAACUUUUCUAAGUAAGUCGAGAUCGUUAAUUUUUAACAAAUAAAAGACUUUGAUUAAUAUAAAACAAAACGUAAGCAAUUUAAAAAAAACAUCUUCAAGUCAGGCCUGAUUUUUAAACAUUCAAGAAAACAUAAAAUAAUACUAUUUACAACAAACGUUUGUAAACUAAAUUUCAAUCCAUUUUAAACCUCACAAGAACCCAUAAGCGGAAGCAAAAACACGUUUCCUAUGGCAUCACGUUUCCUUCUUGCCCCUCGCCUGUUUGCCGCCUUUAUUACCUUUGCCUGAAAAUUAAACAUAAGAAGGGUGAGUAUUUUAAAUACUCAGUAAGAGACCCUCUACUGGUCUCGUCAGGGGAAAAUAAAUUGUUAAAGUUCUAUUGGGACACCCUAUACAGUCGCAGUCUUGUGAUCCCGUAGGAUACACAUCUCAGUCUAACGCCCCGAGGGACGUACAUAUCAGUCUAGUGUUCUGCAGAAACACAUAUCAGUCAAAUGCUCCCGAAGGUGCACAAUAAAUUGGUGAUCCCGUGGGACACCUACAAGGUAAACAUCCCAAUACAAUCUAACAAUUUAUCCCCUCAUUCCAUUCAACCCAUCUUUCAGUUACUUCAAGUCACAAAGUUCUUUCUUUCAACAUCCUAACAGUCAACUUAUUUUACUACAGUCAUAUGUCUGUCAAUAAUAUUCUAAUAGAUCAAUCAAUCCACUAUACAGUCAAUGCACCCCUCAGUUCACCAGCACACAGUCAUACUUUAGCGUAAUCAUACACCCAAUCUAAACGAGAAUCUCAUACAAACACAAUCUACAAUCUCCGUCCUGUCCACAUACACACAUUUAUAUAUAGAUUCCAUGACAAUCACGACAUACAUUCGACGUCAAGUCUACUUCAAUUCAUAUACAUUCAUAUAUAUUUUCAGUCAACCCCAGUAUACAUUCAACACACAUACAGUUCACAUUCACAGUUCACAAUCACAAUUGAGUCCAGUAGAAAAUCCCUUACCUCGAGUUUACGUAAAGUUCUUCAAUCGUACUAAAUCCAAUAAAUUAAAUUCCAAGUAGAAUGAAGCAACAAUUCCAAUGAAGUUCACUUCGAAACUUAAAUAUCCAAGCACAGCUCUCCAAUAUCACCUUAAAAUCAAGCAAUACCCAAAUCAAUUAAUCAAUUUCAAAACUUACGCUAGCCAAGAACAAUACUACUAAAUCCACAAUUCCUCCUUACCAAUGAAAUCACAACAUAGCUUUGACGAUUGACAACAGAACAGAAUCAGCGACAAUCGAAUGAAACUGAUGCGUGCAAAACAGAUAUACACUACAAUAAAGAUGAACGUCGGACCCGCGACUGGAAAACGAGGAGUUACGCAAUAGAUGAGGACUUCACGAUGCACAACUGUUGGAUGCUACACGGCUCGUAUCUGAACGAUAAGCGUCGGCAAAACAAUUGGGACGGGGCUACCGGUGGGGACCCGACGUUGCAGAUCUGGACAACGGCGCGGAGAGACACGGCGGUUACAGGUUCACGCGGCGGCCUUGGCUUCGACGGAGACAGAGGCGAUUAGGAAACGGAAGGGAAAGGAUCGGCGGCUGGGCUGCGGCUGGGCACGAACGGAAGGAGAAGAAGAACGGUGAUGGAGAACGGAAUGGAGGUCGCGGCACUCGGCUUCAGUAGGGGAGACGCGGCGGCCGACGGCUGCUGCGAACGGAAGAGAAGAAGACGGUGGGGUUGUCGCGGCGCACGGGAGGAAGGAGAAGAGGACGGUUGGGGCGGUUGCUGCGCGAACGGAGAGAAGGGGAAGGAGUGUCGCGGCGGUUGCUGGCUGCGAACGGAAGGAGAACGGAAGGGAUGGGCGUACGGGAGGAAGAAGAAAGUAAAUUUUUUUUCAUUUUCUUUUCUUUUAUUUAAUAAAAUGUAAAAUAUAUAUAAUAAUAAAAAUAUAAUUAAAUACAUAUAUAUAUUUAAUUAUAUUAAUACAUUUUCAAAUCUUCUUUCUCCCCUUCAACAUAUUUUAAAAAAAAAAUCUUGAACAAAUCGAAAUAAUUCUCUCAAAAUAAUUUUCCUUCAAGUUUGGGGCGUUACA